ACCCCUUCGGUCGUAUAAUGCCUCGAGAACAAAAGCACGUCCAUUUUUCUUGUGUUUGUAGUCAGUGGAGGUUAUAACCAUCCACGUUUCAUCUAUUUCCAGUAUUAACAUUAUUUCGGAAGGUUGUUCGGUCUUUGGCUUAGAAAAUGUUGUAAACAGGAGGAGCGUGUUUGUACAAAAAGAAUAUUAGGCAAAAGGUGCUUUUUGGAUUGCAGGCUGUAUUUUAAAAAUUGCAAGAAGAUAUAAUAAAACUCUAUGACCGGUAAUAAAACAGUUGUGAUUGGAAUACCAGUUUUGUACUCAUACUUCAAGAAGAGCUGCAAUUACAUGUGUUACAAUAGAAAUUGUCUAAAUACAUAUUUGUAAUUAAUAUAAAAAAUUUAAUUGAAAUACAAAUUUUUCUUUAAAAUGUGUUUUAUCAUUUUUAAUACCCCAUAUCUUUAUAGAAAUAAUACUAUUCUGAAAAGGGUUUAUAAACUAUAUUUUUUGUUAACACAGAUGAUGUGUAAAAAUACAUAUAUUAUCUAUAUACAAUAUUUCAUAAUAUUAUCGGUGCAGCAAUCAAGAUAUACAUAUAUUAUACAUCUAAUUAACAUUGGAACAGAGAUGAAAAUGUGCAGAAUAUCAGUUCAUCUAAAUAAAAUAUGUAAGAAAAAUAGAACUUAUAGUGAAUUGUUUUUUUUUAUAAUUUCAUAACAAAUCACUAUAAAGUACAUGGUACUUUUAGUUACUAAAGAAUUAAAUUCAAUGAAAACUUUAUAAUCAUAAAUGACAUAUUAAGAAUGUGAGAGAUUAUGAAAAUAAACAAUUUAAGAAAAAAUAUGUUUUAAAAUUACAUAAUCUGUUUAUGUAAUAAACUCUU